rnacentral:rRNA from 1 species
ACGGGAGGCAGCAGUGGGGAAUAUUGGACAAUGGGCGCAAGCCUGAUCCAGCAAUGCCGCGUGGGUGAAGAAGGCCUUCGGGUUGUAAAGCCCUUUUGUACGGGAAGAAAUCCUGUCGGUUAAUACCCGGCGGGGAUGACGGUACCGUAAGAAUAAGCACCGGCUAACUUCGUGCCAGCAGCCGCGGUAAUACGAAGGGUGCAAGCGUUAAUCGGAAUUACUGGGCGUAAAGCGUGCGUAGGUGGUUCGUUAAGUCUGUCGUGAAAGCCCUGGGCUCAACCUGGGAAUGGCGAUGGAUACUGGCGAGCUAGAGUGUGAUAGAGGAUGGCGGAAUUCCCGGUGUAGCGGUGAAAUGCGUAGAGAUCGGGAGGAACAUCUGUGGCGAAGGCGGCCAUCUGGAUCAACACUGACACUGAGGCACGAAAGCGUGGGGAGCAAACAGGAUUAGAUACCCUGGUA